rnacentral:snRNA from 1 species
AUCGCUUCUCGGCCUUUUGGCUCAGAUCAAUUGUAGUAUCUGUUCUUAUCAGUUUAAUAUCUGAUACGUCCCCCAUCGGGGGACUACAUAUUAAAUGGAUUUUUCGAAACAGGAGUCGGAAAUGGGGCUGCUCCGUCCGCUCCACGCAUCGACCCGGUAUUGCAGUACCUCCGGGAACGGUGCAACACUU